ACGGUGAUCUCAUUUGUUCAACAAAUCCUCAGCGUGUUCCUACUGUGACAUCUCUCCCUCAGAUGCCGAAGACACACGCAGCAAUGACCGAAACACGCGUGCUCGUGCACACACACAGGAGCUGAGCUGGAGAAACAAAGCACCGCAAAAAUGGAUCACUUCCACCGAGUUCCUGAUCCCCCAGCUGAGGCCGUCCCACGAGCUGCAGCUGAGAUAAGCCGCCUGGGAGUCAGGAAGAAUCGCUGAGACUCCGCGAUGCCCCACCUUGUCCUCCCCCGCUCAAUAAAGCCUUUUUUUAAAAAA